rnacentral:piRNA from 1 species
UUUACUCAUUGUCUUCUGUUCUGUUACCUU